GGCAGGAAAUUCCGGAAUGGAUUCUAGGAUCAGUCGUCAAUGAGGAGUCCCUGAACCAGAGCCAGGAAUACACUGAGAAAAAUACUGCGGAGCGAGGAAAGAAGGGAGAGAAGUUCGUACGAGAAAGAUAAUAUUGGAAGGCUUUCUGCUCCCUCUGCUGGCGGUUCUGGCACUUGACACCAUCUUGGAGUCCGGGAAAAUGCAGGCACGAUGGAGCUAAAGAAGCUUUGACAGAUCUCCCACCACCACCACAACCACGAAAACCCAGUUAGGAUCCCGGAGACGGGGAUGUAGAGCCCAAUGAAAUGGAGGGCACACUUGCGAGGCUGUUAAUGCCUAGCGGUUGUGCCUGACGAGGGGUGCCCUGUCCCUUUGGAUUUGUGUUGCCAUAGUGACUGUAUUCAGGGAUGGGGGCAGCUAUUUCAGUCUCUGGUCUUUCUGAUAAAGAAGAGAAAGCAUGAUGGCGGAAAGGAGACCCUUCCCUUUAAUGUCAUCUCUCAGACAGACCUCCCACAUCCUAGCUAUGUCUCCAAGGACCACUUUUUUAAGUCUGGAAGGUCAGUGGUCCUACAGUUCUAUCUGAGAAUCAAGGGGGAAAAGAAAAGGUGAAGCUAGGGGCAGGCCAGAGGUCCUACAACAGGGUAGUGAUUCUGGGGGUGGGGACGUAUAGGGAACACUGUUUGAGUCUGCCUCCCCACAUGACUGACUCAAACCACUUACACAUAGAAGGUCAUGGACCUUUACCCUGCACCCAAUUCAGUCAGGCUGACCAAUGGUCAUUGAAAAAAGAAGGGACACAACAUAUGCUCCCUUCCCAGAUGCCUGCCCCUUCUUCAGAGGAGUUCUUUUAGAACACACUAUAGAUCAGCAAUUCUUAAACUUUUUUAUGUUUUAAGACCUCUCUAUGCUCUUCAAAAUUAUUGAGCUUUUUUUUUGCAUGAGAUCUAGAUCUAUCAAUUUAUCAUAUUAGAAAUUAAAACAAAAAAUUAUAACACAAGAAUACACAAGUUCACAUUCCAUUAAGAAUAAUGUUAGAAAGAUGAUGUAAUUGCUUGAAACACUCUGGAAAACUCCAUUGUACGAUUUUGAGACAAUGAGAAUAAAAAAGACAAAUAACAUCUUAA